UGGGGAAUAUUGGACAAUGGGCGCAAGCCUGAUCCAGCCAUGCCGCGUGAGUGAUGAAGGCCCUAGGGUUGUAAAGCUCUUUCACCGGUGAAGAUAAUGACGGUAACCGGAGAAGAAGCCCCGGCUAACUUCGUGCCAGCAGCCGCGGUAAUACGAAGGGGGCUAGCGUUGUUCGGAUUUACUGGGCGUAAAGCGCACGUAGGCGGACUAUUAAGUCAGGGGUGAAAUCCCGGGGCUCAACCCCGGAACUGCCUUUGAUACUGGUAGUCUUGAGUUCGAGAGAGGUGAGUGGAAUUCCGAGUGUAGAGGUGACAUUCGUAGAUAUUCGGAGGAACACCAGUGGCGAAGGCGGCUCACUGGCUCGAUACUGACGCUGAGGUGCGAAAGCGUGGGGAGCAAACAGG
rnacentral:rRNA from 1 species